AAUGGAAGGGAGGAGUUGGUCUUAUACAUGAGAUGGUACAGGUUGGGGCUUUCCUAUACAUACUGAAUGUACCCCAACAACCUUCAGAGACGUUCUACCAGAGGUUUUCAAGCAAGAGGAUGAUGAUAAAUGUAUUACACACCCAUUUGUCGGUUAGCAUGGG